GACGAACGCUGGCGGCGUGCUUAACACAUGCAAGUCGAACGAAGUGGCGAACGGGUGAGUAACGCGGAAACAACCUGCCCUUCAGAGGGGGACAACAGGUGGAAACGACUGCUAAUACCGCAUACUGAAGGAGGGGAGUGCGUCUGAUUAGCUAGUUGGAGGGGUAACGGACCACCAAGGCGAUGAUCAGUAGCCGUGCUGCGAGGAUGUACGGCCACAUUGGGACUGAGGAACGGCCCAGACUCCUACGGGAGGCAGCAGUGGGGAAUCUUCCGCAAUGGACGAAAGUCUGACGGAGCAACGCCGCGUGAGUGAUGACGGCCUUCGGGUUGUAAAGCUCUGUUAAUCGGGACGCGGUACCGGAAUAGAAAGCCACGGCUAACUACGUGCCAGCAGCCGCGGUAAUUC
rnacentral:rRNA from 1 species